rnacentral:rRNA from 1 species
GAUGAACGCUGGCGGCGUGCCUAAUACAUGCAAGUCGAACGCACAGCGAAAGGUGCUUGCACCUUUCAAGUGAGUGGCGAACGGGUGAGUAACACGUGGACAACCUGCCUCAAGGCUGGGGAUAACAUUUGGAAACAGAUGCUAAUACCGAAUAAAACUCAGUGUCGCAUGACACAAAGUUAAAAGGCGCUUUGGCGUCACCUAGAGAUGGAUCCGCGGUGCAUUAGUUAGUUGGUGGGGUAAAGGCCUACCAAGACAAUGAUGCAUAGCCGAGUUGAGAGACUGAUCGGCCACAUUGGGACUGAGACACGGCCCAAACUCCUACGGGAGGCUGCAGUAGGGAAUCUUCCACAAUGGGCGAAAGCCUGAUGGAGCAACGCCGCGUGUGUGAUGAAGGCUUUCGGGUCGUAAAGCACUGUUGUAUGGGAAGAACAGCUAGAAUAGGAAAUGAUUUUAGUUUGACGGUACCAUACCAGAAAGGGACGGCUAAAUACGUGCCAGCAGCCGCGGUAAUACGUAUGUCCCGAGCGUUAUCCGGAUUUAUUGGGCGUAAAGCGAGCGCAGACGGUUGAUUAAGUCUGAUGUGAAAGCCCGGAGCUCAACUCCGGAAUGGCAUUGGAAACUGGUUAACUUGAGUGCAGUAGAGGUAAGUGGAACUCCAUGUGUAGCGGUGGAAUGCGUAGAUAUAUGGAAGAACACCAGUGGCGAAGGCGGCUUACUGGACUGUAACUGACGUUGAGGCUCGAAAGUGUGGGUAGCAAACAGGAUUAGAUACCCUGGUAGUCCACACCGUAAACGAUGAACACUAGGUGUUAGGAGGUUUCCGCCUCUUAGUGCCGAAGCUAACGCAUUAAGUGU